CCCUAGCCCAGAUUGCAGUGGAAAUCCUUUUUGUUUUUUUCUUUAAAAAACAAAAAGAUUGUAACGAAAAGCUGGAAAUAGC
rnacentral:sRNA from 26 species